rnacentral:rRNA from 1 species
AGUUUGAUUAUGGCUCAGAUUGAACGCUGGCGGGAUGCUUUACACAUGCAAGUCAGACGGCAGCACGGACUUCGGUCUGGUGGCGAGUGGCGAACGGGUGAGUAAUGUAUCGGAACGUGCCUAGUAGCGGGGGAUAACUUCGCGGCGUAAGCUAAUACCGCAUACGCCCUUCGGGGAAAGCGGGGACGCUGGGAAAUCACUAUUAGAGCAGCCGAUACAAUCGGUUAGCUGGUGGUGGGAGUAACGGCUCACCAAGGCGACGAUCCGUGGCUGGUUUGAGAGGACGAUAGCCACACUGGGACUGGGGUACGGCCCAGACUCCUACGGAGGCAGCAGUGAAAUUUUGGACAAUAGAGCCUGAUCCCAGCCAUCCCGCGUGUGCGAUGAAGGCCUUCGGGUUGUAAAGCACUUUUGGCAGGAAGAAACGGCACGGGAUAAUACCCCGUGCAACUGACGGUACCUGCAGAAUAAGCACCGGCUAACUACGUGCCAGCAGCCGCGGUAAUACGUAGGGUGCAAGCGUUAAUCGGAAUUACUGGGCGUAAAGCGUGCGCGAACGGUUCGGAAAGAAAGAUGCUCUUGAAAUCCUUCAAAUAACUUUGGAACUGCAUUUUAACUACCGAGCUAGGCUGAAGUGUGUCAGAGGGAGGUGGAAUUCCGCGAUGUAGCAGUGAAAUGCGUAGAUAUGCGGAGGAACACCGAUAGCGAGCAGCCUCUGGGGAUGCUUACUGACGCUCAUGCGCUUUGAAAAGCUGGGGAGCAAACAGGAUUAGAUACCCUGGUAGUCCGCCUAAACGAUGUCAACUAGCUGUUGGGGCCUUCGGGCCUUGGUAGCGCAACUAACGCGUGAAGUUAAACCGCCUGGGAGUACGGUCUGAGAUUAAAACUCAAAGGAAUUGACGGGGACCCGCACAAGCGGUGGAUGAUGUGGAUUAAUUCGAUGCAACGCGAAGAGCCUUACCUACCCUUGACAUGUCUGGAAUCCGAAGAGAUUUGGGAGUGCUCGCAAAAGAGAACCGGAACACAGGUGCUGCCGGCUGUCGUCAGCUCGUGUCGUGAGAUGUUGGGUUAAGUCCCGCAACUGCGGCUGUCCCUUGUCCAUUAGUUGCUACGAGGAGCACUCUAAUGAGACUGCCGGUGACAAACCGGAGGAAGGUGGGGAUGACGUCAAGUCCUCAUGGCCCUUAUGGGUAGGGCUUCACGUCAUACAAUGGUCGGGACAGAGGGUCGCCAACCCGCAAAGGGGAGCCAAUCCCAGAAACCCGAUCGUAGUCUGGAUCAUGAUCACAACUCGACUGCGUGAAGCCGGAAUCGCUAGUAAUCGCGGAUCAGCAUGUCGCGGUGAACACGUUCCCGGGUCUUGUACACACCGCCCGUCACACCAUGGGAGUGGGUUUUGCGAAGUAGUUAGCCUAAGCAA